CCGUUAUCGAUCCUAAAAACGGUGAAUCGGAGCUGAAAAAAAUUCCCAAUUGCCACUACACGACAGAGCUCGAGAUUUUCGGGAGAUUCAAAGGGAGAAACAUGAAGAAGAAGGAGGUUGCUUCCCGUUGGGAUUUCAAAUCUAAAACGUGAGAAAAGAAUCAAAUUCCGGGAACAAGAAUUUUGAAGGAAACGAGAAAAUCAGAGAUUCAAAUAGUGACACGGAGCAGAAAGAAGAAAAGAAACAGAAGAGAAGAAGAAAAAUGGUAAAGCGAAGGAAGUUUUUAUUUUAUUCUUUUCUUCAGAGUUACACAUUUUUUUAUUUUUUAUUUAUUGUUCGGUCGGUCGUUUUUUAAUUUUUAAUUCAGAUUUUUAAGCAUUUUUCUUGGACAGUGGACCUCAUUUCUUCGUUGUUCGUUCUUCUCAGUUCUGAGGGAAAUACCCUUUUGUCCAGGCAUUGAAAUGAAAAUAUGAAAUUAUGAAAAUACCCUUGCUUUUAAUUGAUUUCUAUUGGUUUCAGUUUUUUCUCCAACUCCUUCAUAAUUUAACAUUUUUUUAUGUUGUCAAUAUUAUUCGAUAGGUGAGGAAGCACCUCAUCAUCUCUUGGGUUUGUUUGUUUCCUAAAGAUAUUGUCAACCUUAUAUAUAAAUAAGGUAAUUAAGCGUAAUGUUUUGUUUGGUAAGACGUAAUAUUAUAUAAAUAUAACACUUAAAUACUCAAAUCAAAAAGAUAAAUAAGAAAUUUUGAAUCAAGGCCUAUACAGAGUGGCUAGAAAAUCAAUAGAAAACUUUUAAAUGAUUUAGAUAUUGAAAUUAAUUUUUUAAAAAAAGAAAAACCACUUCACCUAAAAUGUCAUUUUUAAUUGGCUUCAUUUGAAUUUUCUCCCAGGCACGUUUUUCUAAGCGCCGCUGCUCCUGGUUUUCUGAGUUCUUCUCCGCCGGUGACCUCAUUUCCUCAUCCGUCUUUCCUGUGCUGGUGGUCAAAGCAUCCUUACUUGGUUUGGGUCGAGCUUUUCUCCGGCCGCUGGCCGUGAGAAAAGGUCCGACUAAAGCUUUUAUUCCACAGCCUUCUUUCAUCUCUGCGUUUUACUCUGUGAUUUCUUCGAUGGAUCUACUAUUGUUUCUCUUCGCCCUGUUAUCAUCUCUGCUUCCGGAGCACCUGAAUCCACCGGAGCUUCUUGCCAAUCUGCUCUUCAACCGUCGAUCCUCCCUCUACCCGGUUGUGUUGCCGCUUCUGCUGUGUUCGCCUUCGAGCUUUCUCAGGCCAUUUCGAGGACAAAAAGCCUUUGUAAAGCUCUUACGGUGUCCUCCGACGAAGCUAUCAAUCGGCCUUGCCCGCGUCUUCUUUCACACGCCAUAUCUAUUCCACACUCAUACCCCGCCGGUAUUCACUCUUCCACACCGGUUCCCUCCGCCAUCUGGUUCAUCUGCAAUACUACCGUCAAGAGUGUCUUCUCAGGUGAAUCCGCAGAUGCUUCUCCGGCGGUCUCCUCCGAGUACCUUAGUCCAAGCGACGAGGCUAAGCUUGGCCUCUGGCAACGUUUUUGCUGCUGUUCCCGAUGUCUCUCCUAUCUUGGGCCUGGACAUGGGCUUUGAAGUGAUGCUAUUGGGCACACCAAUGCUGCAAGGCCCAAUAAAGAGCAUCUUACCAAUGUUUUUAAUCGACAUAUCUAGCAUCGGGUUCUCCAUGGCCUCUUUCGAAGGUAUGGGCUUUGGUUUCUCUUGGAUCGAUUGGCUAUUGUUUGGUCUCUGGUCCAUAUUCUUGCUGGGUCUGCCGUUGUUUUUCCUGCGUUUCUCUUCGAACUCUCUCAGGCUGUUUCGAGGACAAACUGCCUCUGAAAGUUUAGUAAGGGACCCUCAGGUGAAGCAAUUGCUCAGCCCUGUUCGAUUCUUACAGUGUUUUUGGAUGUUCCCUUCCGGCGUUUCUCCGGUCAAAGAAACUUCUGGCUUUCUCCUCCGAGCCAAGAUCUUCAUUGUCUCCUUCGUCUUCCCAAAGAUGGGUAUUAUCAUUGUCUCUUCCAUCUCUUCGAAGAUGUGUUUUAUUUCCGGCUAUUCUUUACUGUGGGUUCAGCCCAAUAUGACGAGACAGUUCGUCGGUCUGGAGUCCUUCCGUUUACCCUCUAUCGUUCUCCUUCCACCUCGGUUCAGCCAUCAGUACCAGCUGUCUCCGCCACCGUGACCCCACCAUGCUCGUUGUCCAUUCAUCAAUGUUAAUUGUUUGCUCGAGCUUUCUCCUUGGACUUCAAAGACCUCACCGAGAGGUAAUAUUACUCCGGGUUUAUUGCCGGAAGACCUUGUGAAUUUCUCUACCAUCUUGCUCCCUUUCAUAGACGAUUUCGUUAAUACGAAUAUCGGAGGAGGUAGAGGUUCUCUUUCAACGUCACUCUCCAAAGUGACUAAAUUUAAACUCUCCGGCUUUGCCGCGAAGGUUAAUUUGACGCAUUUGUGGCUAGUCCCAAAUGCGCUGUCCAUCUUUCAUGAUGAUGAUCUAUCUGUUAGUUACUUCUUUGUUUUCAUUUUGUGUUGUAACAAUCGAAGAGGAUGCUACAUUCCCUCUUCUUGUACUGUAGAAGUUUAAUCUAAUGAAGAAUGGUUUGACAAAAAAAAUAUAUAUUUAUCAAAAUUUUGUGGAUAAAAUCAUAUAACUUAGAAUUGUUUUCAUUGUUUUGCACAGUACUUCGAAAAUUGAAAAUGGGCUAAAUUAUAUAGAAAAAAAGAAUCCACAAGCAAGCUAACAAACACCCAAACUUAUUAUAAUUUGAUAUAGCAGAAGCUUUAAAAAAUAAUAUGAACGGGAUAAUUAGCUCAAUUUAGAAAUUCGAUAGAAUUACUAGAAACUUGUCAGUUCAACCAAGAGAUUCAAUAAAUCUUCAUUUGGGAUCUGUUUCGUUUGAUCAAGAGAUUCGAAGAAUCAUUUGAGACCAGCUUCUUAUUCUGAUGAAUUAAUCAAAUCAAACACCAGAAAUAAGAGAAUUUCUUUAUUUUAUUAAUCAAUCCAAUAUUGAAUACAACUUAGAUCUAAAUAGCUUAUUUAUGAUAAAUCCAAAACACUAAAAAACUUCAAAACAAUAAAAAGAAAUUAUCUGAAUAAUUAAAUAAAUAAUAAAAAUAUUUGAAAUAUUUCCAAAUAUUUUUCUGCAUCAUGAUUAAACAAAUAUCGGAACCUUCUUUUUUUUCAACAUUAGUAUCAUGUUUUCCUAGGUCAGUCAGUUUCUAUGGUGCUUCUCAUCUUUAUAUGCUUUAGUAUUUCUCUUACAAUUAUGUUCAUGGUAUUUAGUGGUUGGAUGAUUUACUUUAAGAUUAGAAUACUAAGAUUUGAAUAUUCUUACAACAAUUUCUACUGCAGUUGAAAUCUGAAGCCAUAUUAAAUGAUUUAUAUACUCAGUUUUUAAUUGUUCACAAACUACAAAAAUUAGUCUAGAUUUCGAUAUAGAAUUCUAUAAUUAUCAAUAUUUUUUUCUUCUUUUCCUGAUAGCAUAAGCUUUUAUUUGUAUUUAUAGUAAAAAAAAAACAAAGUAUAGCAAAUUGAACACAUUAUUGAAACAAAUGUUAGGAAUAUUAUACUGAAAAUUUGAUAGAACCUAAAGUAAUAUAUAAGUGAAACGGAUCAAUCCGCACCAAUUACUUUUAGGUCAGAACCCCAUAAAACGUAAUGUGGUAGCGGAACCCAAAUUUUGUUGACUUACAGUAGUAAUAUAUAAGUAAAAUUAAUCAAUCUGCUAAUUACCAGUUACUUUUAAAUCAGAAUAUCAUAACGUAAUGUGGUAGCAUAAUCCAAAUUUGUUGAUUUAAGUAGGAUAGCCCGAAUAAGAAAUAUUGUAGUUCGUGUAUGGCAUACUGCAAAUCUUAGAAUAUGUUUUGGUUUGAGUCUUCAAGAUGUGCUAGAUAGUUAUCAUCUAGAGAAAAUGGACUUAAAGAACUAUAUAAGAGAUACACUCAUAAUAUAUAUACCAGAAUCCAUUUUAUUGCCAAUUUUUUUUUAGUUAGAACCUAUAAAACUUAGAAACAUAUAUUAUGAUAGAAUCAAAGGUCAUCUCACUAAAAAAUAUUAUGCUCACAUAUGGUUUAGUGAUUUAAAAAAAUAAAUAAUCAAACAUACGAAUUAACCAAAAUAUAGUUUUAAAAGUUUUAGGUCUGCUAAAAUGUUUUUUUUUUAAGGUGUUACUAUGCUAAGCUUCAAAUUGUAUUGUAUUCAUUCUUCAAUAUAAGACUAAUGAACAUUUAGUUUAGAAUUUUGAAUUUUCGAGUAGGCCGAGAUCAGGCCCAGGCUAUAACCGCUUCUUACAGGCUAUUGAUGCAACCAAAUGUUACAAAUUGCAAAUGGCUAUUUGCUUUGUGUUAGACCAUCGGAGAUUUUAAACAUAGGGUUUAUGGGUUUUUUUCAUUAAAAAUAAAUGAAUAAAGCCCAAUUUUCAUAAAACUGGUCUUAAUUUAGAGAUUUUGGAGUCGGUUUUAGGAAGAGUUCAUGCAUGACAUCGUGUAAUUCUAUUUAUUGGUCUUUUCUCUUUCAUCUCCUCUCUCUUUCUCUCUCUUUUCUUCUUCUCUUCUUCGACUUUUUCUCUUCUUUAACUUUCUUUUUCUUCUCAAAAUUUUAUUAAUAAAAAAUUUGAGGUGAACCCCAUUCACCAUUAUAGAUGUUCUUAGCAUUGGUCCAUUGAAUUUUCAAUUUUUUUUUUUAUAACUUCUAUUGAGUCAUAUGGAAAUGGACAACACUCAGUUUAAUACUAGAUGUCCGGUAUCGGUUCUUAUCAGCUUCGCUGCUUUGUAUAUAGUCGCCGUCUGCAAGAAUCAUUCUGAGAAAUGCUAGACAAAAGUGAGAAAGACGAUUUCGUAAAAGAAAGAAGAUUGAGUUUUGCCAGAAACUACUCUACAAGAUUGUUGUAGUUUCUGGACACGCAGCUAUUUCAAACGACGAACCAAUGUUCAAGACCGGUGGGCGGUGAAUAAUUGUGCAUAUCAAUUAAGCUUGCGAAUUUGUUUUUUUUUGUUUUUUUGGCUGAAGAUUUGUUCUUGGGUUCUUGUUUUAAUGUUCUUAAUGUGGUGAAGCCAUUAAAAAAGGAAUGUGAAAACUUUUAAAAUUAAAAAGACUCUUUCCAUGUCUUCUUAAGUGAAGUUGUCUCUUAAGCUUAUUGCCCCCAAAUCAGAAAGCCACUAGAUAUAGUUUGGGAUUAGAUGGAAGUCAUAGCAUCUUCAGAUUAGGUUUAGGGGGUUUAAAUUAAAGAGUCUGAAAAACAGGAUCUUCAUGAUUUAGCAAAAUCAUAUAACUUUUCAUCUUGAUUCCUCCGGUUAACAAUACAAACACACUGCAAGAUGAAAUAGAAAAAGCUACAGGUAGAGGAAUUUGAUUUUGGAUAGUGAGGAAUCAAAAUACACAGUAAAUUCAGAGGCAUCACAUACUUUUAUGAUAUAUCCUUUCACGUAAAAGCAUAAAAACUGUUGAUUAUAUAAAUACAUGUAGCUUGAGAAGGAAGUAAUCCACCUUAACUUAUUACAUAGAAAAAUGAAAAAGAAAAUCCAAUUUAACAACACAACACACUGCAGAGAGGUAUGAGACUGCAUAGGAUGAUAGGAAAAACAAUAAUACAAUCCAAAUGAAGAACACAUCAUACUUUGAGGAAGAAAGAGAAAGCAGAAGAAGAAGCGUGGAUUCUGGUUUAUCACAGUGAGGAAUUCCAAUCCAAAUUGAGGGAUGGUUAGUCCUAAUAUCUCACUAUAAGAAAAAAAAUAAAUAAACAAAGUUAGUGAAUAUUCAGAAAAAUACAUUUCACCUAAAACUGCUAGGAAUAUCCAGCAAAUUCUGCCUCACCAUUUAAUAUCUUAAUAAGAAGCUGAACCAAUUUUCAACAGUUUCUAUUAAAUAUUUUUAUAUAUUCCUUCAUUAACGAAUGUGAAAGGAAAAGAAGAAGAAAGAAAAUACUGUUACUGUUUGUGAUUUAGUCAUUGGAAGAGUUCAAUGCACAUAUGUAUUUAAGCUUUUGAAAUUAUGAUCCCUCGUUAAUAUCCAACAAACACAGGCCUGAUGAUUUUCGAGAGAAUUUUCUAAUUUUGUGACCCAAUUUGUGUUUUGUUGGGUAUCAAUGUAUCAUGAUGCAAAUGGAUCAUAUCAGACUAAAAAAAAACGAUCACACUUCAUUCUAACCUUGAGCAAACUUGAAAGAAACUGAAGUAAGAUAAAAUAAUUUAUUCAAGCGGAAGAGAAUAAGAGAAAUGAUUACCCGAGCGAAUAAAGGCAGGAAACGAUGUUUAGUAUCUUCAUCCUCCCAUUCAAGCUCAGUUUUCUGUUCUUCAGGAACCAUAGAUAUUCCAAACCCGUCAAGUCGUGGGACACUUGUAGCAUCAAAGGGAAGCUUUCUCAGCUUUGGACAAUAAUCGACUUCUAUGUCCCGCAAUGAUGGAAAGGGGAGAGGACUCCAGUAGAUACUCUCCAGCUCAGGCAGAUUGUCCAGGAAUAAGUAUUCUAGUUUCUGAAAUGGUGUAAUACGAGCAAGAUUGGUUGCUUUCUCUUUGUUUAUGAUUUCUUCUACUUCUUCUGAACGUGAAAUCCUUAGCCGAGUAAGAUUUGGAGAAAGCAAUAGCCAAGUCAGAUCCUUAAUGCCAUGACAGCUAUAAAUUGUCACGACGGAGAGGUUGGUAAAGCAUGGACUUGUUGGAUUGUGUAAAUGAGAUGAGUCGGUCUUGCUUCCUCUGCAUUUAAUAUAUGUAUCAAUCGCCGACACAUGACUACCAUCCACAUGGAGCACACUAAGAUUCUCCAUACUCAACAGCGAUGACAUAUUGAAUGGCUUUUCUUUAAAACCUCGAAUACCCAGAGAAUUGAUGCAGUUAGCCAACCUUGGAUCGCCUAAUAUAUGCUUCAAACCCAACUCGGUAGAGAUCGUUAUCUCUAGAACUUGUAGAUGCUCCAAGGGCUGCAGCUCCUCCAACAUGCUAACAUCUCCAUCAACUUUAGAAAAUCUUAGUUUCAAAAUUCUUAAACUCGACAGCUUUGAUAUCCCACUGAUACUACGAAGACUGUAUGUAUAACUCAAAUCCAGAUGAAUUAGCUUUUUCAACUCUUGGAAACCAACUGGCAGUUGCUUUAUACUUGUGCCCCACAAGUUAAGAUACUGCAAGGAGGCCAGCUUCGAUAUCUGCUUAGGAAGUUUUUCGAAAGCGAGAUUAAGUGAUAGAUCCAAAACAACUAGCUUUUGCAUAGAGCCGAUGAAUUCACCUGAGAGAUUCUUCAACUUAUUCUUCUGGAGGAGCAGAGUUGUAAGUUCAGAACACUUGGAACUGCAUUUUAUCUCUUUAACCUCAUUCCUCAUUAAAGACAUCCUUCUCACAGCUCUCCAAUUCUUGACUUUUGGCGUUUCGUGUAAUCCGACUCCUGCUUGAACAAAAAAAGACUCAGAUGCAAUCCAUAGAGCCAUUUCGCGAACCACGUCAUGCAUCACAACAAGACCUAUCCUAUCAGGCUGUUCUGUCAGUAAAUUUGAGCGGAUAAGGGUACCAAGUACCUCAUAACCCUUAUUCACUGCCCUUUUAUAAGAUUGGUGUUCCCCGAUGAAUCCCUCGCACAUCCAAUAUUUUAUCAAAUCUCCUUUAUCUAUCUCAUAAUCUUCCGGAAACAGAGCACAAUAGAGGAAACACGACUUGAUAUGUUCACCCGCCAAGCUAUCAUAGCUAUACUUCAGAAUCGGAAGAAUUUUGUUUUCCAUGUCAAAAAACUCUGCAGCUGAUCUGGACAAAACAUCGACUGCAAGCUCCCAUUCUUGUACCGUAGUUUGAGAUGACAUUGUCUCACCAAUGACAACAAGCGCUAGUGGCAGACCACAACAUUCUUUAGCGACCUUUUUGGCAAGCUCGACAAUGGCAGGAUCUCUACUUAAUGUAUUGUCUCCUACUUUGCUUUUGAACAAUUUCCAUGCUUCUUCUUGUCCCAAACAGUCGACUUUCAUCGGCUCAUGAUCUCCCAUCCGCCCACAUACUUCCCGAGAACGAGUGGUGAAUGCUACUUUGCAUCCAUUUUCUCUGGUGGGAAACGGAACUCCAAUGGCUUCUAAAUCCAAUUUCUCCCAUAUAUCAUCUAACAUCAGGACAAAUCUCUUCCCUUUUAAAACUCUGUGUAUAUUGAUUGCCUUGUCACUUUCACUUUUGUUCUUCCACUCGCCGUCGCAAAGGUGUAGGUUUUUUGCAAUAUCAUCUUGAAGCUUUGAAAUAGUUGCACCUUGAGACACCACAACCCAGAUCACAACAUCAAAUCUACCUAUUUCAGUGAACUUAUUGUGGAUUUUCUUGAAAAGGGUAGUCUUGCCUACACCACCCAUACCGUGCAAACCCAUGAUUCCAACUCCAUCUUCCAUAAGGCGCUUCCAUGCCUUUUCCAGCAUUGUUUCCUGACCAAUCGUAGGCCCAGUAGGCCUUUCUUCUACUGCAGAUCUCAAAACCGGCUCAGUAACCUCUUUAAAAUUACCCUCCGAUUUGAGUUUCUUAACCUCUUUCAGCAACAAGAAUACCUUUUUCCCAUAUUUGUAGCUGGAACAUACACUUUUUGAAGAUAAACCACAGAGACAUAACUUCUUAAGCUCAACAGGACUAGUACUAAGCAGAUUAUUGAAUCGUGUAUCGAUGCUCUCGACACGUGUUAGCCAUACCUUGACAGCUUCAAGCCUUUGUUGAUGUUGUGCCUCCUCUCUCGCUACUUUGUUCUUCACCUCAGCUUCAAUUGCCUUGAGAUCAUCCAUUUCCCUCUUCAGAGCCCUGAGAUUCUCCUUGAGGUUUCGAAUAUAACCUUUGCCACAUAAGAAUCUAAAGAUACGAUUGAGAUCACCACCAGUAAGUUGGAUAGGAUUACAACUCCCCAUGUCGAUAGAAAGAGAGAAAACUUUGAGUAAGCAACAAACGAAAGCUAAAGAUGAAGAAGUGUUUUAUGUGAAAAGCAUUUUACAAGUGACGAAGGCAUAUAUGAUUUGUUAUCUGUCGGUCCUCUUUGGUUUCUAAUUUCCACCACUCCCACAUAUGCAUCGACUGAUACGAUUCACAUGAAAAAUGAAAAGCCACACAAUUUCUCUAUGGUGAUAGAAAGAGAAUAUUUCUGAAGCUGAAGAAGUUUUUAUUGUCAAAAAUAUCAUUGGAGAUAAGAUAACACAUCUUUCUCCAAUACGGGUGGUUAGGAGAUUUUCCAAAGGGAAAAAAAAAAAUUGCUUACGAAAGACUUUGACUAUUCUAAUAUCCGACCAUAGAUUUUACGAGUGAAGACUUUGCUCAAACUUAUUUCAAGUCAACUAAAGUCCUAUCUUCUGCUCUUAUGUUCUUCGUUUGGCGCUUGUAGCUGUCAAUUUGUUAGCCAUGUUGGCUUUGUUAUUGUUUGUAAACAAGUCUUCCUCUAAUGGAGCGUAGCUAAUCUAUAAAAUCUCAUUUGAGCAAAAAGAAAAUUAAAAGGAAACCCAAGUCUAAGGUGACAGAAACGUGGAUUGGUCAAGUAGUGGAGAUGAUUAAGUAAUCAUUGUCUGUUAUGCCCAAAGUAGCUUACGAAGUGGAGUCUUCUUUUGCGUUGAAAUCCUAUACGAUUAUUGUGUUGUGCCGAUUCUAUUUUUUCGUUAGUCUCUCUGUAGUAGAAGAACAUACCUUAGAUUUAGGCAUUGCCUGUUUAUGAUUUCAUUUAGAUUCAUGUUUCUUUUUAGCACCCUAUUGAGAAUUUAUUAUGUGCUACUUGAGAUAAAUCUGGGUUUGAAUUCUUUAAGUUGCUCAUUAAUGGAGUUUUAGUCAUGUCUAAGAGUAGAAAGUAUAUAAAAGCUUUUAAAAAAAGACUUGAUGAAUGGCAGAAAGAAUAUGAUCAGGGAGUUUUAUAAAGCUGAGGAUGAUGAAAAAUCGAACAUACAAAGUAUUUUGCCAUGUCUAAAACCAGAAUGUCCUACUGCCAAAUCUGUUGGGUAGUAGAACUUUUCUAGUCAAUGCGGUGGCAAAUCGAAUCUGGGGGAAGAAGUGUAAGAUUUUUUCUCGAAAACUUGGUGAAACUUCUUAAUGUUGUAUCACGUAUUGUUGUUCCAUGGACUUCCGCUGCCACUUUAAUAUAUAUUUUUAUCGUCCCAUUCAUUUCUUGCUGAACAAGAAACCCAAAUGUGGAAAGAAAAGAAGAAGAAAUUGUUUGUGAUUUUAUCCUUUGAAGAUCAAUACACAUAUGUUUUUACAUUUUUAAAUAAUGAAAUUAAUCCCCCAAAUACAUGCAUGACUUUUCUAAUAAUUUUUUAUUAUGUUGUUCCAAUUUGUGUUUGUUGGGUGUAUGAUAUAUUAUGAUGCAAAUGGAGAGUAUCAGUCUAAAUAAGGGUGCAUACUUCAAGCUAUUCUAGAGCAAACAAGUAAGAAACUUUAGAGAUGAAAAAAAACAACUCAAGCGGAAGAGUAUAAGAGAACUGAUUACCAGAUGGAUUAAAGGCAAGAAACGUUUUUGGUAUCUUCGUCCUCCCAUUCAAGCUCAGUUUAUCUCUUCUCCAGGACCCAUACCUAUUGUAAACCAGGCAAUUCGUGGGACACUUGUAGCAUCUAAGGGAAGCUUUCUCAGCUGUGGACACUCUUCUACUGUUAAUUUUUGCAAUAACAGUAGAUACUCUCCGGCUUAAGCAAAUUUCUUAUCGAAAACACUUCUAGUUUCUGAAACGGUGUAAUACCUCUAACUGUAAGAUUGACUUCUUUCUCUUUGCUUAUAAUAAUAUCUUCUACUUCUUCUGAAUAUCCACGUAGACGACAAGAUUUGGAGCAAACAGUGGAUUUCUAAGUUCUCUAGUUUGGGAAAUUUCGUGGCUUAUGAUGAACAAGUUGGGGUUUACUGAAAUUGAGUUCUGGUUUAAUCAAGACUGGUUAUAUCAUUAAUUCUUUAAGCCGGUUAAAGCAGUAUUAUGGUUCUAUUUUGGAAGUGGGUUCACUGACAUUGAUUUUUUUUGUUUUGUUUUAUAAUUUAAUUCAUUUUCAUAGAUGAAUUUGAAAGGUUACAGCGCAAAUAAACCUCAGACCGGUGAUCAGGUGAAACAUGAAAGAUAAAAUUAUGUAUAAGCUUUCCAGCAGUCAAAUCCCAUACCUAUUGGAUAUGAUCAAAUAUUAUAUCAAUUGUUAGAAACACAUACGUUGGGGAAAAGAGAAUGCGCAAGAUCCAUUUAUAGAUAUUGCAGUGCUUACCUUUACAACAUUGUCAAGUCCUCCAGUCACUACAAAAUUUACAACAUACGUUGGAGUAAAUUUGAUAGUGUUGAUGCCACGAGUAUGACCCUUGUACCUCUGUAUGCAUCCCUUCUUUCUGAUGUCCCAAAUCUUCAAAUUCGUGUCACUUGAUCUAUGAUGCCAAAAAUUCACCAAAUGGAUGAAAUUCAACAGCAGAACAAUUGGAUCUAUGUCCAGUAAAAGCUCGAACCACUACACUUCAAGAGUAAGAGUGAACAUGUUAGACCUCAUAAUUCUAAAGUAAACGAUAGAUAUGGUGUGGUACACUGCUCAAAUAUCAGGACCCAUAAUCAACAUCUAACUCAAUCGGUAUCUCUAUAUGUUCCCAUUUGAUGAAACUAGCUAGGCAUAUAAGGAGCAACAAGUAUUCUAAAGGAGAGCAGAAAAUCAAUCAACUAACUCUUUGCUUCUUCUAGAUCCCAAAGCUUUCUCACACCCGAAGAAGCUCCACCAAGCACCAAAACUUCUGCCGAGUCAAAAGCUACUGAAUCCACUGCACUAGUAUGUCCACAUAAACUCUGCAAACAACUCAAGAAAUGAAUAUAGCAGCACUCUUCUAUAUAAAAAACAAUACACACUUUUUGCUCAACAAGGAGGAAAAAUUUAGACAAGAGAGAAAACGUGAAACACACCAUUAAAGAAGUAGGCUUGCCGAUCGCCCAAAGGUUGACAUUGUAAUCAUCACCACCAGUAAUAAGGAGCCGUGAUGUCUUCUUUCCGAUACUUAAGCAAUUUACAUUUGCAGAAUGUGCCAAAAACUCCUCUACGUUUCCAAAAUCAAGUCAAGGUAUAAGCAAACACCAGACAAGAACAGCUAAAGAAAGGAGCAGCCUUUGAAGCAACUCGACAGCAAAACAUAAAGCAGGUCAUAAAUGGAGAGAAGUACUUUCACAUACAAAACAUAUCCAGAAAAUAUCCAUUUUCUAUCAUAUUGAGCAGCCAGUGAUAGAAACAUUUGACCCGGAAUUAAUUUCUGCUAAAAUCUUGAAAUGCUAAUCAAAACUUGAAGCUUAUCAAUAGCAAACUAAGCUUUGCUCUUGGGAGUUUUUAAAGAUAAAACCCUAACGAUUCGGUGAUUUAAAAAAAAAAAAAAAAAGACGACAAAAAUUUCUCAGGAUGGAGCUAAAAAUCCAGAGUUCGUUCAAUUUUACUCAGCUUAAGAAUCAACAACAUCGCCAGGAAUAUAAAAGGAUACGCAGCUUAUAUCCACGCUUCGCCAUUUUCUACUCGAUUUCCAGCAAAUCCGUGGGAAUCAAUGGAAUCCGAAUCUCUAGCUUCCGUAAUCGAUCGAAAAAACGGUGAAUCGGAGCUGAAAAAAAAAUCCCAAUUGUCACUACACGACAGAGCUCGAGAUUUUCGGGAAAUUCAAAAGGAGAAACACGGAGGUUGCUUCCCGUUGAGAUUUCAAAUCUAGAACGUGAGAAAAGAAUCAAAUUCCGGGAACAAGAAUUUUGAAGGAAACGAGAUAAUCAGAGAUUCAAAUAGUGACACGGAGCAGAAAGAAAAAAAGAAACAGAAGAGAAGAAGAAAAAU
rnacentral:lncRNA from 1 species